rnacentral:lncRNA from 1 species
GUGAGACUGGCUAAUUUUUGUAUUUUUGGUAGAGAUGGGAUUUCACCACGUUGCCAAGGCUGGUCUCGAACUCCUGGGCUCAAGCAAACCACCUGCCUUGGGCUUCCCAAAGUGAGUCACCAUGCCUGGCCAAGAUUUCUCAUUUUUUAGGGAUUCUUUCCUAGGCAAAACAUUUGCAUGUGCUCAAUUUAUAGCCUAGAAUUACCGGUAAGAUUACAGUUAGGCAAAAGUCAAAAUUCAAUUUCUAAUUUUAAAGGGCUUUUCACAUAGCCAAUUGGUAAUUUAAGGUUCCAAUUAAUUCUGAAAGACAGCAUCCACUUCCCUUAUGGAAAACCAAGAUCUCUUCCACAUUGGGCACCAGUGCAUAAGUCUGUUCUUUAAUACAUAUUUCUGUGGUCUUCCAUCAAAUAAAGUUUGAACAUUGCAGGGAAAAUCCAAUGUUUCAUUAGAGUGUAGGUCCCACCAUAAAAUUUCUGAGGUUGAUGACAGUCUCUUGGGUUUAUUUUCUUUGCCUUUCCUCUACCAAUAGAUUUCUUCUCCAGUCUCAAAGCUUUGGAGUCACUACUAGUGUUUAUGGCCAUUGUUAAUGACCUUUUUAAAGGAAAAGAAUUGAGAUUGAUUUUCCUUCUGGGACCAAGACAUAUCAUCUAAAAUGUUUUCUGACCCUCUGAUCUCAGAGUUGUACCUGCCGUUUUGAGUGUGUUUGUGUGGCAUGGGGGUUGGGGUUGGGAAAUAUAUAGCAUUUGCCAUCUGCUAGAGGAGCAAAGAUUUGCAGAGUGGAAAAGAGGAGGUGCGAGGAGGUAGAACUGCAGAAACUUGCUUCCCCAGAAGUUCAUGUAUAGGAAAGCCAAGUUAAUGCCACAUAUUUGGAAAAGGUGAUCCCCUAUGUAUAGUUUUCUCUGAUAGGUUUUUUAAAAACCCAGACAAAGUGGAAAUGUCUGACUAUGAAAACUUGGUGAUCUCUACAAUAUAAGGAUUUCACUUCCCUUUGAGGAGGAAGGGAAUGAUUUUAUAACCUCAGACUUCUCUGACUUAACAAAUAGGGACUUAGUAUCAAAUAUGUCUGGUAAAUGCUGAUGUUCUACCUCUCUAAUGCCCAUAGGAAUAUGGAAAGAGAAAUUCUGCUGUGAGAAAUUCAUAGAACUACCUGGCAGAAAAGGAAGGGUGAUAUUGCCUCCCAGGGAACAUUUGGCAACGUCUGAAGAUAUUUUUCACUGUCACAACCGAGGGGGUAUGCUAUUGGCAUCCAGUAGGUAGAGGUCAAGGAUGCUGAUAAGCAUCUACAAUGUCCCAAACAGUCCCUACAACAAAAAAUUAUCUGGCCCCAAAUAUGAAUAGUGCCAAGGUUGGGAAACCCUUCUUCAUACCUAUUCACAAUCCAUGGAACACUUUAUGUACUGCUGUCUUAGUCCCUAAUCAGAAAUUAUCAGGUAAAAUGCUCACUAGAAUUAAUCCUACUUCCAGAAGAGUUCUCAAAAGAGAAACCUAUAUACUCAACUCUGAUGCUCAAGUCUGACCAAUCCCUAGAUACUGCUGACCUAUUCAUAUAUUCAUAUUCUAUCACUGAUAUGGGAAGCUCUGUUUGAAACAUAAACUUAAAAAGGAAUCUCUAUAUAUGAACUAUCAGUGCUAUCAGACAAUGCUAACAUUAUGAACAUGAUGAGGAUAUAACCCUUGUUUUCUUAGAAAUGCCCACCCACAUUUAUGCUGUUUUUAGUUUAUUACUCUUGUCAAAGUUGCCAUGCAGAAUGUCUGUUGGUCAGUUGGGCACAUCUGCACACAUUUACAAUAUCUGCCACCUCUUUUAACCCUCAACCCCGCCCCACAAAAUGAGUGAUGGUGCUUGUUGAUUUGCAGAUUCACAGUCUGGUGAGACAAGUUUGAGAUCUCAUAUUUUCAGCUCAUCCUUGAAAACCUUUCUUCGAUUUGACUGACCUUGAUGGCUCCCUGGAAUCUCACCUACAUUUUAUGGGAAAUUCAACUCUCCAGAGAGAAGAGCUUUCAGAUAGCUGCGGGACUUGCAACUGUGACUUUCAGCUUUCGCUUUUGAAUGAGGCUCCAAAUGUCUCAAUGGUGGCACUAUUUCCAGAUUUGGGAGCCCUGCAAAGCUAAUCUGCUCAACCUUCACCUACUGGGUUCAAUGAAUAUGAAAAGCUGCCUUCCUGAAACUUUUCCUUCAAAGAGGGAAUGAUCUCCUGGAAUUCAAGCUUCUACAAGGUGGCUACCUGGUGUUUUCCACUUUUGCCGUCUCCUAAAAAGCAUCAUUCAAGCCUUGCCCUUUCAACCCACUGAACACAUAAACAUGCUUUCUCCUUAACUGAACUUAUGGCCACGAUGAACUUGAACUCUGAGAUUCACAGAGGAGAGUUUGUUUUAACAGCUGCUUUUACAAUGAAGCCCUGGAGUUACUACUCUCAAGACCCCUGGUUCUGAUAGGCCAUCUUUUCACUGUCCUCUGCAUUUUCUAAUGCCCAGCUGUCAAGGAACACCCACUGAAGUUUUCCAAAACAAAGGCACGAAACACAAGAAAGGCAAGAGAAUGCUAAUCACCAGAUGCAUGGGCAUCCUAUGGGGGAACCCCUUACAUGUGGAAUACGGUUUUUCUCCCCAAUUUAUUUUUAUAAAUUUAUUGAUUUCUUUGCUAGUUUGUUAUUAAUUGUUAGAGAUGUCCUGUUGCCUGAGGUUGCCCUGUCCGAUAUGGUAGCCACCAGCGACAGGUAGCUAUUUAGAGUAAUUUAAAAAUUACAUUAAAAAUGCAGUUUCCUUGUCACUUAACCAUGUUUCAAGUGCUCAGUAUUAACCACAUGUGACUAGUGGCUUCCAUAAAGGAAGGCAAAAAUAGAGAACAUUUACAUCGCUGCAGAAAGCUACUAGAUUUUUUUGGCCAAGGCAUAAGCUCUUUCUCAUAAGAGAAAGGGGAUGCAGAUCUUGCUAAGAGUGAUGGAUUUCUGGGUUCAGCCUACAUGAGUCAUCUUCCAUACUACCCCUGGACAUGCUUUCCUUGGCUGCCAAUUUUCUAUUUUAUAAAUUUCAGGAAAGAGAGAUUAUGGUUGUUAAAACCAUUCAUGACAAUGAUCCCACUUUAGAGAAAACAACAGCAACAAGCAAAGAAGAUGGUGUGGAGAUCCGCACAUUCCACAUCUUUUAAUUGGUACCCAUUAAAUAACAAAGGGAAAAAGUACCCUCAGACCACAACUCUCCACCUUGUGUGGAGGCCAAGGACCCAGCAGGGAGAAGGCAGAAGAUUAGGUUCUCCACUCAUCCUGGCUCUCAGACCACUGAACUCACAUUUGGGUUCUAAUGGAAUGGUGAUUGGAAGCAUAUUCUCCAAUAGGAGGUUUUUAAAAGUUCUGUGCCAUCAGCCAGGCAGCAUCUGUCAUUUAAAAUGACUGGCCAGUUGCACGUUUAAAAGCAAAGAUAAAAUUGCUAAUUUAUACUUACUGAAUAAACAUCAGCAGUAUCCAUGAAGGUACCUACCCUAAUAGCAAGUUGUAUUUUUAUUUUUAUGGUGGUGGCGAAGCUGCCAGGAAAACCAAAGCAUCAGUUCUUUAAUUACAUUUGUUUAGUAUUGAUUUAAUACUAAAAUUUCUCUUGCUCCCUUAGAACAAAGAGCUCUAACUUGUACACUGCUGUAUCCUUAGCACCUGGAACAGUCCCUGGCCUACAAUAGGCACUUAGAAAGUAUUUGUUAAAAAUUGAUUUUUUUUUUUUAAAGAAACAACCCAGAGUUUUUUUAUUCUGCCCCAACCCCCAACCCCUGGCAUUAAAAUAAAUCUUCCUCAACUGCCAUCACUAAUCGCCAGGAUUCCCUCCUAGCCAAUUAUGCUUGGACUCAACCUCUACCUCCCACUCCACAUUCCAAAGUUUCUAUUUCUUUCCAUUCCAGAAGGGCAACUCCACAACAGGAGUGAGGGAGAGGACCUGGACUCCUCCUCAGAGUCCAAUAACACUCCUAACCCUGCUCCCCCAACCUGUGGACUUUUUAAAUCCAUGAAAAUAGAACCUGUCAAGCUACCACAAAAUAGCAUCAGAAGGCAGGAUCAGUCUUUCAUAGGCAUACAAUCUCUGUAAAUACUGAAAAAAGAUUAUUAAAAGCCUGCUAAGUUUUGUCUCCAGUGAAAUAGAUGCAGGCAAGUAUUUUGAUUGUUCUGAACACAUUAGAGAUGAGUGCUACACAGAACUAAGGUAAACUUUGUAAAUUCGUAUGUCAUAACACUUUGUUCCACAAAAAACUAUCUUAUUUUUUAUACUCCAUACUGAUACAGCCAAAUAAUGUGGCUCUUAUUUUCUAAAGAUGCCAGCAAUAUGUUUAAACAUGUCUUCAUUGUAGUAAAAGUAUCAUAUUUAUAAAAAAUACAUAUGCAUUUAAUGUGAUAUUCCUUAUAGUCAAAAUCUUGAUAUCAUCCUGUUAAUCUGGCUAAAAAUGUAUCUGUAAAAUGAAAGAGAGGAAUAUUUUGCCAUUCCCUAAACAACAGUUGUUUGAAGCUUUUGUAAUUGCUGGUUAUGGGAAUUUACCAAUAACAGGAAUGAAUUUGGAUUUUCUUUUGCUGGAAUCAAAUGGACAAUGUCAUAAUUAGCUAAAUAAUGUUGAGGCUAAAUGAAGUUUGAGUUUUAGGCACAUCCUUUAUGGAAUAUAAACAGGAACCUAAAAGUUCAUUCUGAACAUAGGUUGUUUCUUUCUGCCAAAACAAGAUUAAUAGUCAGUACCCUAACGACAAGGUCCUAUCACUGAAGUAGAUUAUCGGCUAGUCAAAUGGGUUCCUAACAGCACCUCCCUCAUGGGUUAAAACAAGAGGGUUAAUGUGAUGUGUAUUUGCUUAAUUUGGCUUGUUAUACAGUAAACACACAGCAAACGUUAGCUAUUGUUAUCUUCAUUUCCUUUGGAGAAGUUAUCUUAUUUCUCACCUUAUUAAAAAUAAACCCUAACUCAUACAGGGACCCUCCUUACCUUGGUCCUUUCACCCAUGAAUACCAUAAUAACCUAUACUGCAAAAAGGAGGCUCAGGAGGAGGAUGAGGUAUCAAUAGGCCUCCGGGUCAUUUUUAUGAUUUAGGUAUUUUUUGAAAAGGGUAGGCUCUCUUGAAACUUCCAAGGUAGUUGUUGUAGUAUUUUAUUUUCCUUUCAUAAGAAAUGCUUUCUGAAAUGUAUUGCAGUGAACAAAUAACAAAAUUGACAAAUGCUGUAAGCCUUUUACAGUUAUCUGAACACACAGAAUAAAGUGUAAUCAAAUUUGUGCACAUUAGGUUUGCUUUUUCCUGUACCUAGCUGUCUCUUAUGUGUUCAGAACCAUUUCUUCCAAUCACCUUUUUUUGUCUUCUGGCUAUAAUUUAUCAUUAUCUACAAAUUCAAUAAAUGGAGCAUGCAUAUUUCAUAGUUGAGAUUCAAUAAUUCAGGACAACAGUACUAGAAAAGAAAAAAUACCCAACAAAAUAUUAAGCCUCAUAUAUUUUUGUUUAUAAAUCUAAGCAUCAUUUCCAACUCAGAAAUAUGUUUUUAAAGUAUCCCUUUAAAAUACAUACUUGAAGCUGUCUAAUUACACAAAGCUAGAUACUUGGCUACUCAGAUUUGAGGGAGGGGUUGUACAGGUUGGAGGGAAUUUACAAAAUUAAAAUGUAUCUUUUUAAAACCAAAAGAAACAUAUACAUUCAUUUCUAAUCCACAGAGCCUACUUGCCUUUACAGUCUGCUGAUAAACACUGAUUUUUUAAACAUUGUAUAUAAAAUUAAAUAACAUGAAAAAAUAAAUAUGCUUUAUUAUAUAACACAUAGAAAUCUGUACUGCUCAAAAUAUUCAGAAAAUUCUAGGUGUGGCUGCUUAAAACUGUGUUUAGAAAAUAUGGUAGUGAUAUUUACAAUCUUUAUUUCUUCUAGGGAGAGAAGCAGUGAGGUUAUAAAAUACUGGUAUCAAACAUUUUCUCUUCCUACCUACAGAAGCUGCAAACUUUAAUACGAAAAUGAGGUAGACAAAAAUUC